GACGGAGGGUGCGAGCGUUAUUCGGAAUCAUUGGGCGUAAAGGGUGUGCAGGCGGCUGGUCAAGUCAGAUGUGAAAGCCCAGGGCUUAACCCUGGAAGUGCAUUUGAAACUGAUCGGCUUGAGUUCGGGAGAGGGAAGCGGAAUUCCGGGUGUAGAGGUGAAAUUCGUAGAUAUCCGGAGGAACACCGGUGGCGAAGGCGGCUUCCUGGACCGAAACUGACGCUGAGACACGAAAGCGUGGGGAGCAAACAGGAUUAGAUACCCUGGUAGUCCACGCUGUAAACGAUGGGCGCUAGGUGUGGGGGGUUUUUAAUCUCUCCGUGCCGCAGCUAACGCAUUAAGCGCCCCGCCUGGGGAGUACGGCCGCAAGGUUA
rnacentral:rRNA from 1 species